rnacentral:rRNA from 1 species
UGGGGGAUAUUGCACAAUGGGCGCAAGCCUGAUGCAGCGACGCCGCGUGAGGGAUGACGGCUUUCGGGUUGUAAACCUCUUUCGCUACCGAACAAGGCUUCAUAUUUGUGGGGUUGAGGGUAGGUGGAUAAGAAGCGCCGGCUAACUACGUGCCAGCAGCCGCGGUAAUACGUAGGGCGCGAGCGUUGUCCGGAAUUAUUGGGCGUAAAGAGCUCGUAGGCGGCUUGUCGCGUCUGCUGUGAAAACGCGGGGCUUAACUCCGCGCGUGCAGUGGGUACGGGCAGUGUAGAGUGUUGUGGGGGUGACUGGAAUUCCUGGUGUGGCGGUGGAAUGCGCAGAUAUCAGGAGGGACACCGAUGGCGAAGGCAGGUCACUGGGCCAUUACUGACGCUGAGGAGCGAAAGCAUGGGGGGCGAA